UUUUUCUUCCUUUAACUAAAUAUGCUUUUAUUAAGACUAGCUGUUUGUAACAUUUAAGAAACGCAACUUCUUUUUAUUGGUUAUCUUUCAAAAUAUAAAUUUGAUUAUUCUUGUCCUAUGUGACUAUUGAAGGGAUGGAAAAGCGUUGACCCAACAAACGAAGGACAAGGGAGAAAUUAUUCUUGUCCUGUAUUCUUGCUCACUAAACCAAAUGCACCAUAUAAUAGUAGUGAAUUUGUACUUGGUGAAUUUUGUGUUUUGGGAAUACUUUUAACUUGUCAAUUGAUGUAUGAUAAUGAUGCAGCAUUUUAUAAAGUGUCACUAAUGAUCAGGAUGUUGCUAUCAUUAGCGUGUUACUUUCAUGUGAAGUCUAUUGAUGAUUCUUGUUUCUCGCAGGUACUUGCUUAAAAUUAUUGGAA
rnacentral:misc_RNA from 1 species